rnacentral:rRNA from 1 species
GAAUGCUGACAUAAGUAACGAUAAAGCGGGUGAAAAGCCCGCUCGCCGGAAGACCAAGGGUUCCUGUCCAACGUUAAUCGGGGCAGGGUGAGUCGACCCCUAAGGCGAGGCCGAAAGGCGUAGUCGAUGGGAAACGGGUUAAUAUUCCCGUACUUGGUGUUACUGCGAAGGGGGGACGGAGAAGGCUAUGUUGGCCGGGCGACGGUUGUCCCGGUUUAAGCGUGUAGGUGUGUGUUCCAGGUAAAUCCGGUUCACUUUAACACUGAGGCGUGAUGACGAGGCACUACGGUGCUGAAGCAACAAAUGCCCUGCUUCCAGGAAAAGCCUCUAAGCAUCAGGUAACAUCAAAUCGUACCCCAAACCGACACAGGUGGUCAGGUAGAGAAUACCAAGGCGCUUGAGAGAACUCGGGUGAAGGAACUAGGCAAAAUGGUGCCGUAACUUCGGGAGAAGGCACGCUGACACGUAGGUGAAGUGAUUUACUCACGGAGCUGAAGUCAGUCGAAGAUACCAGCUGGCUGCAACUGUUUAUUAAAAACACAGCACUGUGCAAACACGAAAGUGGACGUAUACGGUGUGACGCCUGCCCGGUGCCGGAAGGUUAAUUGAUGGGGUCAGCGCAAGCGAAGCUCCUGAUCGAAGCCCCGGUAAACGGCGGCCGUAACUAUAACGGUCCUAAGGUAGCGAAAUUCCUUGUCGGGUAAGUUCCGACCUGCACGAAUGGCGUAAUGAUGGCCAGGCUGUCUCCACCCGAGACUCAGUGAAAUUGAACUCGCUGUGAAGAUGCAGUGUACCCGCGGCAAGACGGAAAGACCCCGUGAACCUUUACUAUAGCUUGACACUGAACAUUGAGCCUUGAUGUGUAGGAUAGGUGGGAGGCUUUGAAGUGUGGACGCCAGUCUGCAUGGAGCCGACCUUGAAAUACCACCCUUUAAUGUUUGAUGUUCUAACGUGGACCCGUGAUCCGGGUUGCGGACAGUGUCUGGUGGGUAGUUUGACUGGGGCGGUCUCCUCCUAAAGAGUAACGGAGGAGCACGAAGGUUGGCUAAUCCUGGUCGGACAUCAGGAGGUUAGUGCAAUGGCAUAAGCCAGCUUGACUGCGAGCGUGACGGCGCGAGCAGGUGCGAAAGCAGGUCAUAGUGAUCCGGUGGUUCUGAAUGGAAGGGCCAUCGCUCAACGGAUAAAAGGUACUCCGGGGAUAACAGGCUGAUACCGCCCAAGAGUUCAUAUCGACGGCGGUGUUUGGCACCUCGAUGUCGGCUCAUCACAUCCUGGGGCUGAAGUAGGUCCCAAGGGUAUGGCUGUUCGCCAUUUAAAGUGGUACGCGAGCUGGGUUUAGAACGUCGUGAGACAGUUCGGUCCCUAUCUGCCGUGGGCGCUGGAGAACUGAGGGGGGCUGCUCCUAGUACGAGAGGACCGGAGUGGACGCAUCACUGGUGUUCGGGUUGUCAUGCCAAUGGCACUGCCCGGUAGCUAAAUGCGGAAGAGAUAAGUGCUGAAAGCAUCUAAGCACGAAACUUGCCCCGAGAUGAGUUCUCCCUGAGACUUAGAGUCUCCUGAAGGAACGUUGAAGACGACGACGUUGAUAGGCCGGGUGUGUAAGCGCAGCGAUGCGUUGAGCUAACCGGUACUAAUGAACCGUGAGGCUUAACCUUACAACGCCGAAG